GCGGCCGUGGCGGAACUGGCAGACGCGAUGUCUUCAGGUGGCAUUGGGCUAACGCCCGUGGAGGUUCGAGUCCUCUCGGCCGCA
rnacentral:tRNA from 1 species